rnacentral:rRNA from 1 species
UACGAAGGGGGCUAGCGUUGCUCGGAAUCACUGGGCGUAAAGCGCACGUAGGCGGAUUGUUAAGUCAGGGGUGAAAUCCUGGAGCUCAACUCCAGAACUGCCUUUGAUACUGGCGAUCUCGAGUCCGGGAGAGGUGAGUGGAACUGCGAGUGUAGAGGUGAAAUUCGUAGAUACUCGCAAGAACACCAGUGGCGAAGGCGGCUCACUGGCCCGGUACUGACGCUGAGGUGCGAAAGCGUGGGGAGCAAACAGG